AGUGAACGCUGGCGGUAGGCCUAACACAUGCAAGUCGAACGGCAGCACAGUAAGAGCUUGCUCUUACGGGUGGCGAGUGGCGGACGGGUGAGGAAUACAUCGGGAUCUACUUUUUCGUGGGGGAUAACGUAGGGAAACUUACGCUAAUACCGCAUACGACCUACGGGUGAAAGCAGGGGAUCUUCGGACCCUGCGCGAUUGAAUGAGCCGAUGUCGGAUUAGCUAGUUGGCGGGGUAAAGGCCCACCAAGGCGACGAUCCGUAGCUGGUCUGAGAGGAUGAUCAGCCACACUGGAACUGAGACACGGUCCAGACUCCUACGGGAGGCAGCAGUGGGGAAUAUUGGACAAUGGGCGCAAGCCUGAUCCAGCCAUACCGCGUGGGUGAAGAAGGCCUUCGGGUUGUAAAGCCCUUUUGUUGGGAAAGAAAAGCAGCAGGUUAAUACCCCGCUGUUCUGACGGUACCCAAAGAAUAAGCACCGGCUAACUUCGUG
rnacentral:rRNA from 1 species